rnacentral:rRNA from 1 species
UACGUAGGGCGCAAGCGUUAUCCGGAAUUAUUGGGCGUAAAGAGCUCGUAGGCGGUUUGUCGCGUCUGCCGUGAAAGCCCGGGGCUCAACUCCGGAUCUGCGGUGGGUACGGGCAGACUAGAGUGAUGUAGGGGAGACUGGAAUUCCUGGUGUAGCGGUGAAAUGCGUAGAUAUCAAGAGGAACACCUGCGGCGAAGGCGGGUUGCUGGGCCGACACUGACGCUGAGGCGCGAAAGCUAGGGGAGCGAACGGG